AAAGAAUGUAUAUGAAUUUUAAUGUUGUGCAAUAUAAUUCUGCAGGCUGAUGCUUUCUCUCUUUGCUACUUUCCACAGUGUUAUCUAAUUUUAUCUGGUGUUUUGGAUUGCUUUCUUUUAAUCAUUAGAUAAUCUUUGUCCAUUUCAUAAUUUAGAAUUUGGAACCUCAGACUUGGAUCUUCUCUUUCUUCCAUUUGAUACUACAUAAGGUAACACAGUCAUUAAAUUUGAAAAUUUU
rnacentral:misc_RNA from 1 species